rnacentral:rRNA from 1 species
GGGGAAUAUUGGACAAUGGGCGCAAGCCUGAUCCAGCCAUGCCGCGUGAGUGAUGAAGGCCCUAGGGUUGUAAAGCUCUUUCACCGGUGAAGAUAAUGACGGUAACCGGAGAAGAAGCCCCGGCUAACUUCGUGCCAGCAGCCGCGGUAAUACGAAGGGGGCUAGCGUUGUUCGGAAUUACUGGGCGUAAAGCGCACGUAGGCGGAUCGGUCAGUUAGGGGUGAAAUCCCGGGGCUCAACCCCGGAACUGCCUUUAAUACUGCUGAUCUGGAGUCCGAGAGAGGUGAGUGGAAUUCCGAGUGUAGAGGUGAAAUUCGUAGAUAUUCGGAGGAACACCAGUGGCGAAGGCGGCUCACUGGCUCGGUACUGACGCUGAGGUGCGAAAGCGUGGGGAGCAAAC